rnacentral:rRNA from 1 species
ACCGCCCUCUUUCCUCCUGCCUAACACAUGCAAGUCGAACGAGACCUUCGGGUCUAGUGGCGCACGGGUGCGUAACGCGUGGGAACCUGCCCUUAGGUUCGGAAUAACUCCCCGAAAGGGGUGCUAAUACCGGAUAAUGUCUUCGGACCAAAGAUUUAUCGCCUUUGGAUGGGCCCGCGUUGGAUUAGCUAGUUGGUAGGGUAAAAGCCUACCAAGGCGACGAUCCAUAGCUGGUCUGAGAGGAUGAUCAGCCACACUGGGACUGAGACACGGCCCAGACUCCUACGGGAGGCAGCAGUGGGGAAUAUUGGACAAUGGGCGAAAGCCUGAUCCAGCAAUGCCGCGUGAGUGAUGAAGGCCUUAGGGUUGUAAAGCUCUUUUACCCGGGAUGAUAAUGACAGUACCGGGAGAAUAAGCUCCGGCUAACUCCGUG